rfam:Parcubacteria group bacterium CG1_02_36_42 cg1_0.2_scaffold_28681_c, whole genome shotgun sequence.
GCCCCUGUAGCUCAAUGGAUAGAGCACCACACUCCUAACGUGGAAAUAUAGGUUCAAUUCCUAUCAGGGGCA